UUUUUUGUCGCGUUUUUUAAUUUCCGGAUCUGCGCAGAACACAUAACUCUACUUCCUUCUUCCGGUCUUGUUGUCGUGAGACUUUGAUUAGUCUAGUAAAAUAUAGGAACUCAAGGAACACAAUACCAAUAUAUUUCAUUUUUAAUCAUUCUUUGUCUUUGGUAUGAAUAAACGUUACCUGAUGCAUUGCGUUUCUUUGUUUACAUUGAACAUGACGUCAUAACUUAAAUAACGUCGCAAGUAAAAUCCCUAACAACAGAACCAAAAUCGGAAACGUUACGGUAUUUCCGUUUCUUUUUUUAACAAAUAUUUUUAAGUUACAAAAA
rnacentral:lncRNA from 1 species